CAUUGCACACCGGCCGUGUUGACCCCUGCCACUUUCUCAAACUGAGAUAGAUGGGACAUGCAAUUUUUGGUAGUGGGGAGCAGCGUUCGCGCUAUCCCCC
rnacentral:snRNA from 14 species